AAAGAUGACGCUCAUGUGUGAUAAAUUUGGAGUGUUGAUGUUGUAUUUUGUGUUGGUUGACAGUCGUGUGAGUAUAUCCAAUAUUUCAAGUUGUCCUAAAAAAAGGAAGGGGAGACCGAUACCAAUAUACAUACUUCCUGGUGAAUGGGUUAUGUUUAAUUGCAGUGUAAAUCACAACGAUUUAAAUGCUCAAAUUCUGAACAGCAAACGAGAAAUUUUACAUGUUGACAACAACCAAAUAAAAAUUUUAAGCAAAAA